rnacentral:rRNA from 1 species
AUAACGGUCCUAAGGUAGCGAAAUUCCUUGUCGGGUAAGUUCCGACCCGCACGAAUGGCGUAACGAUGGCCACACUGUCUCCUCCCGAGACUCAGCGAAGUUGAAGUGGUUGUGAAGAUGCAAUCUACCCGCUGCUAGACGGAAAGACCCCGUGAACCUUUACUGUAGCUUUGCAUUGGACUUUGAAGUCACUUGUGUAGGAUAGGUGGGAGGCUUUGAAGCAGAGACGCCAGUCUCUGUGGAGCCGUCCUUGAAAUACCACCCUGGUGUCUUUGAGGUUCUAACCCAGACCCGUAAUCCGGGUCGGGGACCGUGCAUGGUAGGCAGUUUGACUGGGGCGGUCUCCUCCCAAAGAGUAACGGAGGAGUUCGAAGGUUACCUAGGUCCGGUCGGAAAUCGGACUGAUAGUGCAAUGGCAAAAGGUAGCUUAACUGCGAGACCGACAAGUCGAGCAGGUGCGAAAGCAGGACAUAGUGAUCCGGUGGUUCCGUAUGGAAGGGCCAUCGCUCAACGGAUAAAAGGUACUCCGGGGAUAACAGGCUGAUUCCGCCCAAGAGUUCAUAUCGACGGCGGAGUUUGGCACCUCGAUGUCGGCUCAUCACAUCCUGGGGCUGUAGUCGGUCCCAAGGGUAUGGCUGUUCGCCAUUUAAAGUGGUACGUGAGCUGGGUUUAAAACGUCGUGAGACAGUUUGGUCCCUAUCUGCAGUGGGCGUUGGAAGUUUGACGGGGGCUGCUCCUAGUACGAGAGGACCGGAGUGGACGAACCUCUGGUGUACCGGUUGUAACGCCAGUUGCAUAGCCGGGUAGCUAAGUUCGGAAGAGAUAAGCGCUGAAAGCAUCUAAGCGCGAAACUCGCCUGAAGAUGAGACUUCCCUUGUGGUUUAACCACACUAAAGAGUCGUUCGAGACCAGGACGUUGAUAGGUGGGGUGUGGAAGCGCGGUAACGUGUGAAGCUAACCCAUACUAAUUGCUCGUGAGGCUUGACUCU